AAGUGGCUGGGCCGAUUUGGCCCUUAAUGGGGGGGGUCAGCUGGGAGGGAGGGUCGGCGGCGUCAGCUGCGGGUGCCUUUUAAAAAAUAUUUAAGUGGCCUCCGCUCCGCCCCCGGCCUCCGUCUCUUUUGGCCGAGGCAGCGGCAGAGCCGCUGCCUCGCCCAGUUUAUCCCGGCGCCGGUUUUCCGGCUUCUUCGGGGCGGCCGCUUCUGGCCGCCCAAGAUGGCUGCCGGGUACCGGCGAGCGUGUCUCCCUUGCCCUGUUCUGUGCCUGCGCGAAGCGCAGGCGCAGAACAGGGCAGGGAGGCACGGACACACGCUUGGUGUCCGUCCACGGACAGACACCAAGCGUUUUAUUAGAGAGGAUAUAAAUAUGUGUAAAUAUUGAGCAUACAUAUUUAUUUCACACUGAUUGUCACGAAUGUAAAAGUGAAACUGUGAAAAGUAUAUUCACCAAGUCUUGCUCACACUUCAAAUAAAUGACUUAAAAUAAGAACAUAAGAACAGCCCUGCUGGAUCAGGCCCAAGGCCCAUCUAGUCCAGCAUCCUGUUUCGCACAGUGGCCCACCAGAUGCCAUUGGGAGCCUACAGUCAGGAGUUGAGGGCAUGCCCUCUCACCUGCCAUUACUCCCCUGCAACUGGUACUCAGAGGCACCCUGCCCUUGAGGCAGGAGGUGGCCUACAGCCCUCCGACUAGUAGCCAUAACUAGACUUGACUUGUUCUUUCCCAGCAGAUUUCAGGAAAGAGCCUAAGGAGCAAGGAGAGUGAGGAUAAGACAAGCUGUUUCAAUCUCUUUCGUGAUGAGGCUUCAUCAGAGAACUGAAGAACAUAUACAAAAUAUAAAGAUGUAUACAAAUACUGAGCAUACUUAUUUAUUACAUACUGAUUGUCACCGGAGAAUAUAAAAAUGAAACUCUGAAAAUGUAUUACUCAGGAAAUCUAACAUCCUUCAUAAAUGUCUCAUACUCUAACAUCACGUGGAUUUGCUCACACUUCAAAUAAAUUAUGUAACUUGUGCUUUCCCAAAAGAUUUCAAAAACAGACCAGUGGAGGCGACAAGAGACAAGCCAUGCCAAGCAAAACUGCAUUACCCUUUUAGGUCUUGUUUUCAGAAGAUUAGUCUCAAAACCAGUGGCUGGCUGCUGCAAAUAGAGGCUUCAAGCGUGAGCUGAUUUUAUCCUUGGUCCUGUGAGGUAAGUUAGCCUGGAAUAUUCUGUGCUGGCUUCAAGGGUUCAUGCCUAAAAAAUAAGAAUACGUUUGUUUAAAUUGUUUGUAUCCUGCCUAUUGAAGAGCCUUAAACAACCAUCUCUUCAGCCUGGAUUUUAAUGAUAUCUUGUUUUAAUCUUAAUUUUGAUUAGAUUUAAUCUGGUUUAAAUGUUUUUUGAUUUUAAUUGUUUUAUUCUGUGUUUUUUAUUUUAUUUUAAUGUAAACCAGCCUGAGCCAAUGAAUGAAUGAAUGAAUGAAAUAAUAAAUAUUCAACAAAAUGCUAUUCAGGGCCUCUUACCCUCUCUUAAAUUAAAACAACCCCCCCCCACUAAAUGCAAAACAACAACAAAACCCACUAUUAAAUGCAAGCCCCCACACUACUAAAUUAAAAAAAACACACUACUAAAUGCAACAACCCCCCCAAAGCCCACUACUAAAUGGGGAAAAAAACCACCACUAAAUGCACACACUCCGCUAAUAAAUGCAAAAAAGAUUCACUACUAAAUGCAAUAAAACUGAAGAUAAAAUAGACAAGAAAAAAGAGCAUUCACAACUAAAAACUGAGUAUUCUAAACAGGAGUAAAAAAAAAUAACCACCAUUGGCUCUGUUCACCAGCCAUUCUCAUUGAGCUCUGUUGGUACAUUACUCGUCAGGUUUUUUCACCCGUCAGGCAUCCUUUUUCACUUGUGACAGAUGGGUAGACUAGUGGAUUUUCUGAGCCCUGAUUCUAAACCUGGAUUGGAGAAAAAUGAAAUUUUUCUUGGUGCAGAUCUCCUGACCUAGCUGCUUUGCCAUGUUGACUUGUAUACAGUGCCAUGUGGAUUGUGGAUAAAUCCCUACAAAGGAGGAUAUUGCAAGAAAUCGGAAAUUUAUAAAAGUGGCUACUGUCAGAGAGAGACUUGUGCAGACAGGUUGAAAGUUGCUCUUACAAUAAGUGAUGUAGGGACAUAGGAGCUGAAGUCCUAUGGUCAGGGUGAAGUGCUGGUAACCUCUCCCCUGUAGCCUCCAAAGAAAGAGGAGAACUUUCUGCAACUGGAAGAAAAAAGAUGAAGUCUGAAGAAAAGAUUCACUGUGGAAGGAGCGGUCCGCUUGCCAUGGACUGUGAUGCUUUCUUGCUUCACGUUAUUGAUAGCCAGUUUAGUUUAUUGUUACCUUUAAAUUAUUGUUCUGUGUGUGAGCAUUCUGUGCAUUCAGUAUUUCUGUAAAGCCUUUGUGUAGAACCCGGGUUCUUAUUUUUGUAAUGUAUUUUAAAUGUCUAGAAAAUU